CGGAGGAUCCAAGCGUUAUCCGGAUUCAUUGGGUUUAAAGGGUGCGUAGGCGGAACGAUAAGUCAGUGGUGAAAGCCUGCAGCUUAACUGCAGAACUGCCAUUGAUACUGUCGAUCUUGAGUACAUUUGAUGAGGGCGGAAUGUGUCAUGUAGCGGUGAAAUGCUUAGAUAUGACACAGAACACCGAUUGCGAAGGCAGCUCUCAAAACUGUAACUGACGCUGAGGCACGAAAGCGUGGGUAUCAAACAGGAUUAGAUACCCUGGUAGUCCACGUUGUAAACUAUGAUAAUUAGGUGCUAGGGAGUAUCGACCCUCCUUAGUGCCACAGCUAACGCGUUAAAUUAUCCGCCUGGGGAGUACGGCCGCAAGGCUA
rnacentral:rRNA from 1 species